CAGAGAAUUACGAGUCUCGUAUAAUAUCUCUGUCAUAGAUGACUGCCUUAACACGUGCUGUCACAGCACGCGGUGUGAAUCAUUGGCUGAAUGGCGCGUGCAUUGUUUACAUAAGACAUAACUGCUUCGGAGAGAAUGCUGCAUUUUAGUCAUUUUAAUACCCAUUUACACUAAAUCGGAAAUAAUUUUUAACUACAAAUACGUCAAACGCCUUUAUUUAUUUUUCCAAUAUAUACAAAAAAUGUUUUAGAAUUUAAUUUGUCGCAGGAAAAAAGUUAAUAUUUCUAGCUCAUUAAGCCGCAUCAAUGUCAUCCUUAUCAGUGAUUGUCGCGGCCAAGCAAAUAUUCACUGCGGAUCAGUGGGCUGUCAAUCAUGCUGCCUCGCUGUGUUUGAUCUAUCAUUUAUCCACUCCAAUGGGGAUUACCCGAGAUUUUGAAUUUGUGUUCCAGCUACUUGAAUUAAAAUGAAUAGAUCUACAUGAUUCAUGAAAUUACCACAAGGAGUUUAAAAAUGGGGCAAGCUACUUCAAACCAAGUGUGUAAUAAUUCAGGAGGAGGUGAUGAAGAUGUUGCUGCAAUAGAUUCUAGACUUCUAGAAUGUAGACAAAACUUUAUGAAAGCCGUUCAAAAAGGAGAAAAAUACACUCAUUUUGUCUUGAAUCUGAUAUCAUUACCAUGUCCAGUGUCACUGAAGUAUGCUUUAUUAAAUGUUAAACAUAUUCUAGAACAAAACAAUCAGUCAGAAGAAGAGCUGAAGAAGAUACCUAUUGCACUUGUUAUAUUAGAAAAAUAUUGUCGCCAUUUGCUGAAACCUGUUGCUUUUCGAGCCGAAAUGUGGAGAUCAGUAAAAUAUUCAAAUCCUAUUUAUGAGGAUCGUGUAGAGCCUCUUAAGGGUAGUACUGAUAUCAUGGAAUUAAUGGGCUAUACUGUGAAAGUAGAAGAUGGGGUUUACUUUCCUGAGGGAAAAGAACCAGAUGUGGAUAUAAUAUACAACUUGUUAACAGAUAUUAUAAUGGCUAGACAAGAAAUGGAACUGUAUUUAAUAGGUGCUCAUCCACAGCCUGCUCAUAUUGAUCAGUAUUUACCACAAAGUACCAUUAUGCGUAUAAGAAUUUUGCAACAAAGUGGAUAUAAAACAAGUUCAACAUCGCCAGAAAAAAUUGAUUCCAAAACUGGAGGGGAAAUGAAAAAUAAAGGGUGUACUAUAUGCCUUGAUAAGAAAGCUGUUAUUUUUUGUGAAGGAUGUGACAAAAUAUUGAUGUGUGAAAUGUGUGAUAGUAAAUGGCAUGAACACCCUAGACGUCAACAACCAAAUCACAAAAGAAAGAAAAUAGAAGCUUGGAAUGUAAUUCCUCAGUCAUCUGUUAAAAUAACUCAUCAAGGAGCUUAUGGACUAGGACUUUUAAGUGUCGAGGUAUUCUGGGAAUGAUUUUUCAGCAAGAUGGCACGUAUUGGAUUUUAUUGAGGAUUGCAUGAGAAAUGUACAAUAUACAGCUACUUGGAUUACGCAGACAGAGAAAGAUAGAUUAUACUAGUUAAAUUGAGGGAUUGGGUUUGAAAAUCCUAUAUUUGAGCAUCAUUGGGGGCAGUAAUGUCGAGGAAGUUAUAAAAAGGUUUAUAAAGGCUUUAUAUAUGGAAGCUAGAUGACACAACUACAUGUACAUGUACUUGUCACACACAGAAUUGGGAUUGAAACCAUGCCACUGAACUCGAUGACAAUCCUCUUGAUCGAAAUGGCAAAGAAAUAAAGACUUUUUAAUUAUGUAACAAUAUAUAUGUAUCUAUGGUAGCACAAAAUUCAUCAGCUUUACUUUACAAGCAGUAGGCCUAAAAUUUUUUGGGGGGGUGGAUGGCCGAAUGGUUAGCAUGUGCGCACUGCGCGCUGUAUCAUAAGGCCUGUCAUUGAGUCAACUGGCGUGGUUUCGAAUCCCCGGUUGUACGUGACAAGGAGUAGGGUCGCCUGUCCAACCUCGUGGGUUUUCUCCGGGUCCUCCGGUUUCUUCUCACUGCUAAAGACCCCUACGCGCAAGCGAAUUAUUGAAAUAAAAUUAAACCAUGUGUUAGUCCCGAAAUGACCUAGUUUGUGUCGAGUGGACCUUAAACCCCAUUUCUCUCUCUCUCUCCCCUAAAAUAUUUUCUGUCUGAUAUUGUGACAGUCAUUUCUUUUAUGAAUAGUUUGUUUCAAGCCGAUAUCCUGUCACAAUAUCAUAUAACAGCCCUUUAGCUUAAACUGAGUUGUAUCAGUGUGUUGAAAAUCUACUGCAGCCAGUAAACGAUAAGCCUUUGCAUCCCUUACAAAUUCUUAAAAUUUUUGUGAUAGAUCAAUCAUAGCAAAGAUCUGUGUUGUAAUUAUAUUUGUAAUGUGUUUAACGAAUUCUAUCACACAUGGUGUAGUAAAGAAUAUACCUUUUUUUCAAUGUUGGGGUAUUAUAUCGUUGACAUGACUGUAUGUCAAAAAUUAGCUUGUUAUUGUGAAGGGGACAGUUUUUAACAGAUUCUUUUCAAACUGGUUGUGAAGAAUCAUGAGAGGAUGAACCAUGAACCUUAUCAAUAUUUGACAUUCUGAGACUGUCCAUUUUACGAAAACCUUGUGACAAUUGUCUUGUGAAUGCGACAAAGGCUGCAGUUGCUACCAGAUUCUUUUCAAACUGGAUGUGAAACAUUGCGAUCAUGAGAGGACGAACGGUAUCGAUAUUCAGCUUUUCACGAUUUUUCCGUCCAGAGUUAUAUUUUUGGGGGUAUAAGUCGAUACCUUUUUUCGCUGAAGUCUGGCCUUCGUCUUGUACUGCGCUUCGAUUUGUAUAUACGGAUGAACAAACAAAAAAAAGAAGUCUGGGAUAGAAUUUUGUCAUUAACUGUCGCUCCACGGUGCCGCACGCAAUAUUGUCUAAAACAAAACUACUUCAAAUUACACAAUUCCAAUUGAAAUAGUUUGUUUAUAUCUUUAUUUAAAAACACAUUCUUCCCCCCCCCCCUUCAAAAUUUGAUCAUCAAAGUGAGAAUAUGCCAUCAAUAGAAUCUUUUUGGCACAUUUCCAUUUCUGUUAAUUUCGUGCGUCUUGCGAGAUUUCCGUCUUGGCUUUCAUUUAAAUACUCAAGAUUUUAACUAGAUUAGAAUGGUCGCCAAUUACAAAUUUAAUUCAAAAAUGGGAAAGUAAGGUCAAGUCUCGAAUAUUUACAUGUGCUCUGGUUACCACAAUGCACACAUCUUGUCAAAACUAUAAAUUGUGAUAACUUGGCUCAGAAUGAAGUAAUUUGAAAUAAAUUUUCAAUAUUUUCAUUUUGCAUUAUCCAUUUUUGAGCUAUUAUAGUAAGAAUUGUCGGUUCUUUAUUUAGAUUUUACAGAAUGGAUCUUUAAUGGAUCUUUUUCAAAUUUGGCAUGAAGCAUUGGGGUCCUGAGUCCCCCCCCCCCAUUUGCUGCAAAGCCUGUGACCAUUGCUCUAUAGUUUUUUCGCAUUGGUUUCAAAGUUGGUGUGAAGCAUUGGGAUAAAAACCCUAUUGAUAUUCAGUAUUCCACAAAUUUCAUUUCCAGAAUUAUCCCACCUUGAUAAGUCGAAAACCUUGAGCAAACGUGAUAGAGGCUAUAGGUUUUUUUUUUUGUCAAAUUUGGUCAACAUCACAGCUUUCCUUUCUCAUAUGCAGCUGACUGUGUGGGCGUCUUUCUACAUUUUCAAAGUGCUAAGGUAGACCUUUUUCCGAAGAGCUGUUUCCCAAGUUGUCACCAACUUAGUGCUAUGGAUAAACUGUUACAAUUUAAAUGUCUGCUUUUGUAUUUUAUUACAUUAUAUAUUUAUCUUUUGAAUAAAGUACAGAUACUUUUAGUAUAUUUUGUUUAAUAAUUAUGUAAGUUUUGCUGGUGUUUGGGCGUUCGGUUGCAAUUACAAUUAGAAUUUUGAAUGGUUAUUGAUAAAUAGAGAAAGAAAUGGGGAUCAACGUCCACUCACAUCACAGUACAUCAUUUUGGGACUAACAUGUGAUUCAGUUUUAUUUCUAUAACUCGUUUCCAUUUAGGGAUCUUUAGCAGUGGGAGAAAACCCACAAGAUUGGACAGGUUACCCCACUACUUGUCAUGUACAAGUGGGGAAUCGAAACAACACCACUUAAUUCAAUGACAGACCUUAUGAUGCAAUGCACAUGUGUUAUUAACCAUUUGACGGCCGAAACCUCUAGGAGGAAAUAGGUAGAGAGAAAUGGGAUUUAAUGUCUAAUAGGCAAAAACUUUCAUUUCGGGCCUAAGAUCCAGUUUCAGUUCAAUAAUUUGCUUGCGCCAGGAAUCUUUAGUAGUGGGAGGACCCAGAGAAAGUCCACGUUCAUGUCUGAUAUCGAAACCAAGCCACUUGUAUCAAUGACAGACCUUAACAAAAGUGCAUGUGUUAGAGCACUUGACCAUCUAGCCUCUCCUAUGGUUAAAGAAUAUUUGGUUAUUGGUUGAUUGAAUUUCACAAUUACAACCACCAAUAAUAGAUUAUAUUAAAGGUUUUACUUUCUCAUUUGACAUUAGAAUUGCAUCCGAAAAUGAUGUUUAUCUCAUGUUAGAUUUACGUUAUAAUGGUCAGUUAGAUUUCCAUCUUUUUGCUCAUUCUUUUAACGACAGUUUAAUGUCAGGAAAUGACGUUAAUCUAGG